AGGGAGCCACACCAGCUGCACUGUCCCCAGUGGUAAAAGCCAGGGUCCAGGACAGGCAGUGACAGUUUUCCAGAGAGCCGACACCCCUUCACUGGGGAGGAUGAGCAGGAGAGACAGAGACACCCGGCCCUCCCAGAACAGGGUGAAGCUGACAAGGACUUCCCUGGUGGUGCAGUGGUUAAGAAUCCGCCUGCCAAUGCAGGGGACACUGGUUCGAGCCCUUGUCCGGCAAGAUACCACGUGCUGCAGAGCAACUAAGCUUGUGCGCCACAACUACUGAAGCCUGUGUGCCCUAGAGCCCAUGCUCCACAACUAGAGAAGCUACCACAAUGAGAAGCCCGAGCACCGCAACAAAGAGUAGCUCCCGCUCGGUGCAACUAGAGAAAGCCCGCACACAGCAACGAA